rnacentral:rRNA from 1 species
UGACCUCGGAUCAGGUAGGGCUACCCGCUGAACUUAAGCAUAUCAAUAAGCGGAGGAAAAGAAACCAACAGGGAUUGCCUCAGUAACGGCGAGUGAAGCGGCAAGAGCUCAAAUUUGAAAUCUGGUUCCUU